rnacentral:rRNA from 1 species
AUGGAAAAAACUAACAUCGUGGCUUGUAGGAAUCCAACUUCUCGUGACGCGAGCGAUGACGAGGAAGCGACGUGGUCGCAUGCAUGGGGGCUCAUCUCGGGCUUUGCCGUCUCCAUCACCCUCAAAACAGCAAUCGAGCUCGGCAUCAUCGACGCACUGACCAACGCCGCCGGCCGUGCGCUGACGGUGGACGAGCUGGCCGCGCAGCUCCCGGCACCGGACAAGGCCGGGUCGGCUGCCUCGGUGGACCGGCUUCUCCGGCUCCUUGCCGCCUUCGACGUUGUGCGGUGUUCGACGGAGACGGGUCCGGACUGUGAGGCAGUCCGGAAGUACACUCCGGCGCCGGUGUGCCGGUGGCUCACCAGCAACCGCAGCGAUGGGUCGCUGGCCCCCUUGGCCAUGUUGGCCGUCGACCAGGAUUACUUGCCGACCUGGAAUCAAAUGGGGGCGGCGGUGGUGUGCGGUGUUCCAACGCCGUUCGAGAGGGCGCACGGGGUGCCGCUGUUUGAGUACAUGGGGAAGAACCCUCGGCUAAGCGGGGUGUUCAACCAAGCUAUGUUCCACAUGUCAGUCACGGUCAUCAGCAAGAUGGUCGAGCGCUUCGACGGCUUCGACGGCGUCGAAGUUCUCGUCGACGUCGGCGGGGGGACUGGUGCCGCCCUGGAGAUGAUCACCGCCCGCCACAAGCAUAUAAAGGGCAUCAACUUUGACCUGCCUUACGUCAUCACUCAGGCGCCGUCUCUCCCGGGUGUGGAAAAUAUUGCUGGAAAUAUGUUUGAGAAUGUACCCACGGGAGAUGCAAUUUUUUUAAAGUGGAUACUCCAUCUACAGAAUGAUGAUGAAUGCAUUAAGAUCCUCAAGAACUGCCACCGGGCUCUUCCAGCCAACGGCAAGGUGAUCGUUGUGGAAAUUGUCCUGCCGACCACCACAGAGGCAACUCGUGAGGCGCAGAAUAUGUUCCUUCUAGACGUCAUCAUGUUCAAUAACCAGCAGGGUGGAAAGGAGAGGACUGAGCAGGAUUUCCUAAAGAUGGCCAGGAGCUCCGGGUUUGAUGGUGCCUUCCGUUCCACCUACAUCUUCGGUAACUUCUGGGCUCUCGAGUUCACCAAGUAG